UGAGUGGCGGACGGGUGGAGUAACGCGUGGGCAACCUGGCCUGUACAGGGGGAGUAACACUUAGAAAUAGGUGCUAAUACCGCAUAACGGGGAAGGCCGCAUGGCGUUUUCCCUUGAAAACUACCGGUGGUACAGGAUGGGCCCGCGUCUGAUUAGCCAGUUGGCAGGGUAACGGCCUACCAAAGCGACGAUCAGUAGCCGGCCUGAGAGGGCGGACGGCCACAUUGGGACUGAGACACGGCCCAGACUCCUACGGAAGGCAGCAG
rnacentral:rRNA from 1 species